rnacentral:rRNA from 1 species
GAUGAACGCUAGCUACAGGCUUAACACAUGCAAGUCGAGGGGAAACGACAUCGAAAGCUUGCUUUUGAUGGGCGUCGACCGGCGCACGGGUGAGUAACGCGUAUCCAACCUGCCCACCACUUGGGGAUAACUUUGCGAAAGUAAGACUAAUACCCAAUGACGUCUCUAGAAGACAUCUGAAAGAGAUUAAAGAUUUAUCGGUGAUGGAUGGGGAUGCGUCUGAUUAGCUUGUUGGCGGGGUAACGGCCCACCAAGGCGACGAUCAGUAGGGGUUCUGAGAGGAAGGUCCCCCACAUUGGAACUGAGACACGGUCCAAACUCCUACGGGAGGCAGCAGUGAGGAAUAUUGGUCAAUGGACGAGAGUCUGAACCAGCCAAGUAGCGUGCAGGAUGACGGCCCUAUGGUUGUAAACUGCUUUUAUAAGGGAAUAAAGUGAGAGUCGUGACUCUUUUUGCAUGUACCUUAUGAAUAAGGACCGGCUAAUUCCGUGCCAGCAGCCGCCGCUG